UGAUGGGGCGGAGAGAAGCUGUUUUCUCCACGGUCAUCGCCCCUGCGAGCAUCCAGCCCAGCCCGGCCCCGCCCCGCAGCACCCGGCCGGGAGGGGAGCGGGGACCCCACUGCACCCCCCGGGCCUGGGGGGGGAACCCCAGGAGCUGCCGGAGGAGCAGAGAACUCACCCGUGGUUCCCAUAGAGGAGGCUGCCCAGAAGUGUACGAGGUGGGGCGCGGUG